CUCUCCUUUUAUUUACCCUUUUCUCAUCUCUUUUUCCCCUUCUUUCUGGUGAUUAAACAGGUUGUGAGAAUUUUUUUUCAUGAACACUUUCUUCCUAUUCUCAUUCCUAUCUUUCUCUCCUUUUAUUUACCCUUUUCUCUUCUCUUUUUCCCCCUUUUUUUCAGGUGAUCAAACAGGCUGCAAGGAACUGGUUCUGCUGAAGGUGAAAUCAUCGUUGGCCAUCUCAGUCUCCUUCAACAUGGGACUUUGGGGCGUCGUCGGGUGUUCCACUUCAUCUUCUGGUUUCUCUUUCGUGUCUCCCUCUCCCUCCUGGAGGAGUGUUAGUGGUUAGUGGCAAAGGGAAAAGAUGGGGAAUUAGU